UGGGGAAUUUUGGACAAUGGGCGAAAGCCUGAUCCAGCAAUGCCGCGUGCAGGAUGAAGGCCUUAGGGUUGUAAACUGCUUUUGUACGGAACGAAACGGUCUUUUCUAAUAAAGAAGGCUAAUGACGGUACCGUAAGAAUAAGCACCGGCUAACUACGUGCCAGCAGCCGCGGUAAUACGUAGGGUGCAAGCGUUAAUCGGAAUUACUGGGCGUAAAGCGUGCGCAGGCGGUUAUGUAAGACAGUUGUGAAAUCCCCGGGCUCAACCUGGGAAUUGCAUCUGUGACUGCAUAGCUAGAGUACGGUAGAGGGGGAUGGAAUUCCGCGUGUAGCAGUGAAAUGCGUAGAUAUGCGGAGGAACACCGAUGGCGAAGGCAAUCCCCUGGACCUGUACUGACGCUCAUGCACGAAAGCGUGGGGAGCAAACAGGAUUAGAUACCCUAGUAGUCCCUGAGCGGGCUGGCAAGGCGCAU
rnacentral:rRNA from 1 species